GCUGGCGUAGCUCAGGCGGCAGAGCACGGCUUUGGUAAAGCCGAGGUCCGGGGUUCAAGUCCCCGCGCCAGCUCCG
rnacentral:tRNA from 1 species